GUGCUGAGGUUGUGCAGUGGAAACUAUUGUUAAUAUAGUUAAAGAUAUAGUAAAAUAAGGGUUUAGCCCUAGUGUAAAAAAAAUAAGAUAAUUGUUAAUUUUAACCAAGAGCACUAAACAGGGGCUGCCCCACCGGAGCCGCAGAGUCUUUGUGUGUUAAACUUUUUAGAUAAAUUUAGCUGAGAAUUUCUGCAAAAAGACUGACUUUUAUGUUAACAGGAUUAAAGACUAGAUUACAGA